UGAUUCAUAGACUAUGGUCUGACUGGACUACUAGAAAGUAUCCAUUACUAUCUUUAGGAAAUUUUGGGAAAAAUGUGCAAAAAUAUGUAAGGAUUGUGUUCGUGCAAUGAAAUUUGUUAAGAAAGGUAGCUUUUAUGUUUUUCUCUUGGUGAGUCUUUUGAUUUUAUUUUCAAGUUAUUGAAAUUUUUCCAAUAUUGUUUCCCUUCCUCCUUUCUUUUCUUCCAUCUUUCCCGCUUUCCUUGUGCCGUAAAUGUGUGUUUAGUCUUCCUACCAUAGAGCAAGGGAGAGGCUGGAAGAGGAGAACCAGUUUGGAUUCUGUUACAACAAUCCAGGAAGGAAUAGCCAAAGGUACAUUAGUGAGCUGUCUUUCCCAGGAAGUCAAGGUCUGGACAUCAAGAUUCAGCCUCACGAGGCCAAAUGCAGACUGAAGAUGGAAACCUCUAUUCCAUUCGAGUGGGGAAGGGAAGAGGCACAUUGCCAGUGAACACGCUGUCUUCACCCAGCACAAGGUGAACCUGAGGCCAUUUAUUCAAGUCUUGUGCAGACAAACUACGGAAGACAAACCUUCGGAAAAGGACGGACAGGCAGGUGAAUUAUUUCUUUAAAAGCAACUGAUCUGACUUUGAACUGGGGGGCAUGGGAAGAUCAUUGGAGGUCUUGAGUGAUGCUGGCUACUUUGCCAGAAAAUUCCUUACCCUGAGGUAAACAGCAAUUGUCUUGGAACCCAUUUUUU
rnacentral:lncRNA from 1 species